rnacentral:rRNA from 1 species
UACAGAGGUCUCAAGCGUUGUUCGGAUUCAUUGGGCGUAAAGGGUGCGUAGGCGGCGCGGUAAGUCGGGUGUGAAAUCUUGGAGCUUAACUCCGAAACUGCAUUCGAUACUGCCGUGCUUGAGGACUGGAGAGGAGAUUGGAAUUCACGGUGUAGCAGUGAAAUGCGUAGAUAUCGUAAGGAAGACCAGUGGCGAAGGCGGGUCUCUGGACAGUUCCUGACGCUGAGGCACGAAGGCCAGGGGAGCAAACGGG